CCUACGGGAGGCAGCAGUGGGGAAUAUUGCACAAUGGGGGAAACCCUGAUGCAGCGACGCCGCGUGAGUGAAGAAGUAAUUCGUUAUGUAAAGCUCUAUCAGCAGGGAAGAAAAUGACGGUACCUGAGUAAGAAGCCCCGGCUAACUACGUGCCAGCAGCCGCGGUAAUACGUAGGGGGCAAGCGUUUUCCGGAUUUACUGGGUGGAAAGGGAGCGUAGACGGCAGGGCAAGUCUGGAGUGAAAGGCGGGGGCUCAACCCCCGGACUGCUCUGGAAACUGUACGGCUGGAGUGCAGGAGAGGUAAGUGGAAUUCCUAGUGUAGCGGUGAAAUGCGUAGAUAUUAGGAGGAACACCAGUGGCGAAGGCGGCUUACUGGACUGUAACUGACGUUGAGGCUCGAAAGCGUGGGGAGCAAACAGGAUUAGAUACCCGAGUAGUC
rnacentral:rRNA from 1 species